CCUACGGGAGGCAGCAGUGGGGAAUAUUGCACAAUGGGCGCAAGCCUGAUGCAGCCAUGCCGCGUGUAUGAAGAAGGCCUUCGGGUUGUAAAGUACUUUCAGCAGGGAGGAAGGCGGUGAGGUUAAUAACCUCACCGAUUGACGUUACCCGCAGAAGAAGCACCGGCUAACUCCGUGCCAGCAGCCGCGGUAAUACGGAGGGUGCAAGCGUUAAUCGGAAUUACUGGGCGUAAAGCGCACGCAGGCGGUCUGUCAAGUCGGAUGUGAAAUCCCCGGGCUCAACCUGGGAACUGCAUUUGAGACUGGCAGGCUAGAGCCUUGUAGAGGGGGGUAGAAUUCCAGGUGUAGCGGUGAAAUGCGUAGAGAUCUGGAGGAAUACCGGUGGCGAAGGCGGCCCCCUGGACAAAGACUGACGCUCAGGUGCGAAAGCGUGAGGAGCAAACAGGAUUAGAUACCCGUGUAGUC
rnacentral:rRNA from 1 species